rnacentral:rRNA from 1 species
UGCCAGCCGCCGCGGUAAUACGGAGGGUGCAAGCGUUGUUCGGAAUUAUUGGGCGUAAAGCGCGUGUAGGCGGUUCGUUAAGUCUGAUGUGAAAGCCCGGGGCUCAACCCCGGAAGUGCAUUGGAAACUGGCGAACUUGAGUACGGGAGAGGAAAGCGGAAUUUCUAGUGUAGAGGUGAAAUUCGUAGAUAUUAGAAGGAACAUCAGAGGCGAAGGCGGCUUUCUGGUCCGAUACUGACGCUGAGGUACGAAAGCGUGGGGAGCAAACAGGAUUAGAUA